UUGCAGUAGGUGUUAACGGGGACUCGGGAUGUGACGCGAUAGGACCUCCCCUGCUCUGUGAUUUAAAUAUGACGUGUGCUUAGGAGGCGUAGACAAGGCAAGGUGUGUAUUUAAGGAGCUGCCACACUGUAAUAAAUGCCAUUUGCUAUAUCCUUAUAUAGGUGUCUGUGUAGCAAUGGCCCUAGCGAGGGUAGAUCGCUAGCCCCUGGCGGAAUGUGCCUCAGAAGCAGGAACAACAAAUGGUGCCCCGUGUGAGGAAGAAUAGGUCCGUCGCUCCCCAGUGUCCCAGGUGUUGCCUGAGAUCCGGUGAGGGAUCUGCUCCUGGCCAGGAGGAUGGAGUGGAGGAGGACAAGAUGGCAACUGUUUCCUGACCCACCCCUCGCCACUGUAUCCGGUCCGACCGACUCGACCCGGAUAUCCUUUUAUGGAGUUGAGGGCGCAUGCGACUGAUCAGGGGUCUCCACAACAGGGAGGACCUGUUUUGUUGGCUAUUUCAAGGGGUUGGCCGAUGGUGGUCAUUGACCUCAAGGUCUGCUUUUUCUCUAUCCCUCUCGCAGAAGAGGACCGAGAAGCAUUUGCCUUCACGUUUCCGGUGACUAAUAAUGAAGGGCCUGCAGAGAGAUAUCAAUGGCGUGCCCUCCCUCAGGGAAUGAUGUGCUCCCCUACAGUAUGUCAACUAGUAGUGGGAAAUGUUCUGAAGGCGGUCUGAAAAGAUUUCCCUCAGUAUAUGGUUGUACAUUAUAUGGACAAUCUAUUGCUUGCUGCUCCCUCUUAUUUGGGGCUACAUAUGCUUGAGACUCGGGUAGUGGAAACCUUGACCACUGCCAGAUUUGUUAUCUCUGAACAAAAAUUGCAGAGGGGCCCGGGGGUUGAAUACCUCGGAUAUAAGUUUCGCCCAGAGAUGGUUCGGCCAACAGGGCUUGACAUUCGACCCCACAUUACCACCCUGUGGGAUGUGCAGAAGUUGGUGGGGGCAAUUCAAUGGGUCCGAGGGGCCUUGGGAAUUGCCUCCCGGCUUAUGAAACCCUUCUAUGAUCAACUGAAGGAGGUGGACCCGAGAGAACCUCGAGAGCUCACCCAUGAUAUGGCUGCUGCAUGGCAUGAAAUUCUGCAGUGUUGUAUGGGACAGUCGCUAGCGCGGUGGGACCCCAAUCUAGAUCUUGAAGUAGCAGCGACUCGAUGCGAGGCCGGUACAACUGCCAUUUUGGGCCAUACCCUUGAUGCUAAGCCACGACCUCUGUGGUGGUUGUUUUCAGUGCAGCCUACGUGAGUCUACACUUCCUGGCUUGAGAUCUUAGCAAUGCUGCUCAGGAAGUCCCUAUUGCUAUUGUUGCAGGCCCUGGCAAGAGAACCUCAUGUUAUAUACCUGCAGAGCUCAUUUCGGGACAUGCAGCCGCUCCCUGAAGCCCUUCUUACGGUGUUGCGGGGCUUUGGGGGAAGCACUGUGUACUCUGAUUCGUUACCCAUUUUUGAUUUAGCUAAGCCCCUCAAUGUCUCCCUUUGAUCUCGUGUCCUAACCUCUCUGCUUGAUGGGCCCACCCUGUUCACGGAUGCAUCUUCAACCACCGGACAGGGGCAGGACUCAAGCAACAGUUGGGAGACCGCUGUUUUUACCGAUCAGACAGCUAGUGUGCAAAUGCUUGAGGUGAUGACUGUGGCGGUAGCAGUGCAUUUGUGGUGAGAGAUUCCAUGUAACAUUGUCACUAAUUCUGCUUUCAUGGCCAGACUGCUUGUCUACAUGGAUCAAGAAGGGCAUCUGAGCUCUGAGGCCGCUGGCCUCCUAGAAGAAGCUUUGGCUUCCUGCUCAGCUCCUGUGGCCAUCUUGCAUGUCUGCAGCCAUUCUGAUGUGCCAGGCUUCUUUACAGCAGGGAAUGCUGUAGUGGACAGAGCUGCCCAUACACUUGUUUUCAUGGUUCACGAAGCCCGUGACCUUCAUGCCACCCUUCACAUAGGCGCCCGUGCACUGGCUAGGACAUGUUCCAUUCCUUUGUCUGUUGCACGCGAUGUUGUUCAGGGAUGUCCCCACUGUAAUUCUGCACCUGUAAUAGAGGCUGGAGUUAACCCCCAUGGUCUCGGACCAUUACAAAUUUGACAAACAGAUUUCACUUGGGAACACCAUCUGUCCCCCCACCCUUGGCUUACCAUCACGGUGGAUACUUCCUCCACUGUCAUCGUAGCCACGCAGCAUGCUAAGUCUAACUUGUCCAUGGCACAAUAUCAUUGGGUUGCUGCCAUUGCUGUGAUGGGCUUGCCUAAUCAGAUUAAGACUGAUAAUGGGUCCUGCUUCAUCUCGUAAAACAUCUUGAGAUGGGAAAAAUAGUAUGGGUACCAUCGCGGAAAGUUAAAUCAGAUGCCAGCAAGGAAAUAACCGGACUAUGAGCCUUCUUGUUCACAGGUUUGGCUCCUGGGGAGGCCUAAACCACAGACAGAGGAGACAAGAGAACAAAAAAAAAAGGAGCCGUUCCUGAAAGCUCCUGCUAAGACUGCAGCACAUGCUAAGUAUACAACACUUUUGCUUAUAGUAUCGGCAAUAGGUACUGCUCAGGCCUGGGAAAGCAACGGGUAUGUCAACGUUACCCACGUAAUGGCCCAGCAUUUCAAUUUAUCAGACUGUUGGAUUUGUACUGCCUUACCACGGGGAGGGAACUCCCCUUGCUAGGAGUUCCAGUGCCAUUCAGAAACUGGAGCUUGCCAUGGGACGCGGUGCAAGUACAGUACAUGGGGCGUGGCGAAAGUUUGUUUUGGUUUGUGCGGGCUUCAUGUGGUCUGGCGGGGCACGCAUCCCUACUCCCUAGCGGGGAAACGUUAUGCUGGAGUUUUCAGGACCCCUUGACCUCUUGACCGCCCAAGGUUGUGAAACCAGACGUAGCUUGUUAUCUGAAUACUAGCUCUCCGAGGUUUGAGAUGCUAUCCUCAUGGCCGAACAAUACUGUUGUCCUGGCGCAGAAUGGCAGCUACAGUGUGGGUCAUUUUUCAGCAGUGAACGUUACUUGAUGCCCAAGCUCAGAGUACUGCCCUAGGCCGAUAGUGGUGGCCUUGAGCAAUCCUGGCGGUACCCCACUGGGAUGUCCUCCCAAAGGUCUAUGGUGGCUGUAUGGGGAUGGCUGAGCAAGGAAAAGUGUACCAUCUGAUUGGAGUGGCUCUUGCACCUUGGGAGCCCUCAUUCCAAAUGUUGUCUGGCAUAACUGAUCGGCACCUCCUCCUGGAAUCCUACGAACACAUUGGAGGAGAGUGCAGAGGGUUCUGAACCCUGUAGUGGAGAAACCUACUGGUUUACACAGUUUUGCUAGAUGGUUCAUCCCAUCCUUGGGGGUGAGUGAGUUAGAGAAAACGUUUGUUAACAUUUCAGCCACCUUGGAAAUGAUAGAAAAUGCCACCGUUGAUGCAAUCAGGACAUUACAAGGAGAAGUCUCUACACUUAGCAAGGUGGUAUUACAGAAUAGGAUGGCAUUAGACCUCUUAAUGGCAAAAGAAGGAGGAGUCUGUGUGGUAAUAAACCACAGCUGCUGUGCCUAUGUCGAUAAGACUCAGAGGGUAGAGACGGGCAUACAAGCAAUAUGGGAACGGACUAAAUUACUCCAUCAAGUGUCCAUGGAUGAUACUUCAUGCGGAUUUCGGGACUUAUGGGAGAAGCUCAUGAGUUGGUUACCUGACUUCACAUGGCUGAAGCAACUCUUCAUCGUUUGUGUCAUCAUAAUGAUCAUACUUAUAUUAAUGUGAGUCACUAUGCGAUGUAUGUUGUGCCUAUGUAUAAAUUCUGGGAAGGGCUACGGAAAAUGGAAAAAACUCAGGUUAGGGCAGCAACUAAGGUACUUAUAGUUGCCUUGCCUCUAAUUGUAUUAUAUGUAAUAUAAUCGCCAUAUGCUGUAGCAAGUAGACUAGCUUAAAAGACCCAACAUAGCUUGCCAUCCCCUCUGUGUCCUAGGCUGGCGAUCUCGGUGGGUGUUGAUUAAGAAAUUGCGGUCGCGCUGUAACGGGGCAAGACUUUACUGAGCAUGGGGAGGGGGAAAUAUUGCAGUAGGCGUUAACGGGGACUCGAGAUGUGACACGAUAGGACCUCCCCUGCUCUGUGAUUUAAAUAUGACAUGUGCUUAGGGAGCGUAGACAAGGCAAGGUGUGUAUUUAAGGAGCUGCCACGCUGUAAUAAACGCCAUUUGCUAUAUCCUCAUAUAGGUGUCUGUGUAGUAAUGGCCCUAGCGAGGGUAGAUUGUUAGCUCCCGGCAGAACGUGCCUCUGAAGCGGGAACAACAAACGUGCGUGUCGCUAAUGUGCAUAACAGAACUUGCCUUACCCAUGGGUUACCAGGAGGCUAAGAAAAGUAAUCUAACACCUAGGCCAACUUGCAGACUCCUUGGGUAAUUCAUGCCGGACGAGUCACCUCAGCAUGUGCCAGACUUUCACAUAUAAUAUGAUUACAAGUAAUAAACAAAUCAGUGUUAGAAUUAAUAAAAUCACAACUGGGUGAAGCACAGAAUUAAAAGCUCCUCUUGCUGUUGGUGACCAUCCAAGAAGCAUUUCCCACCAGUGGUGUUCUCCAUCCUUCUUCACCCUUUCUAGGACAUGGUGUAUCUCUUUUGUAUCAUGGUGAACAGUAAUUAGAAUUUUUUUGUCUGUUAUCUCAGAUGCAUUCUAGCAGUUGGUACAGAUCAUCAUGUUGCAGUAAUUUCUUUAAUAAAUCAAGGUUCAUUCCACUUGAUGCAGGUAGCCAAUGUUGGAUUAAUGUGUAAUUGGAUCAUAACAAUUGAUAUGAUGUAACUGCAACUGAAUAAUUAGAGUCACAUCCCAUAAUGUUGGUAAAGUUACAAACACAAACAUUUGAAUGAUUCCUUGUAUCUAUAGUAAUAUUACCUAUGAGUAUAAAAUUACAAGAAGUUCUCAUACACACACAUCCUUUUCCACUAUAGACAAGCACUGUUUCAGGGGUUUCAUUGGGAUACACCUCAAAACAGCAAAUAUUUUGCUUAGUGUCCAGACAAAUGUCUUGAGCCUUGAUGGUAUUACUUUCACAAAUAAAUCCUUGUUGUUCCCAUACAGCAAAUGAACUAACAUUAACAGUUUGCCAUUUGUUUCCAUUUUGCUGGGCCCAUACUGUGUGUUCUAAUGGGUAGAGUAUAAACUAGUUGUGAUUCAGUCCCAGCACAAUGAUUGGGUAUACAAUAUAUACUGAAGCACUGUGUAUUAUUAGGACAAAAGCUAUAGCAUAGUUAUUAACAGGAUCAUAAGUGAAAUUAACUAGAUGCCCCUAAGAUUGAAAUUUUCUUUCAGAUUUGUCUGCAUUGUCCAAGAUCACCUUUUGAAUUUUAGUGUGUAAAGCAUUUCCUUUACCUUCUACAACUAAGAGCUAGGGAGACAUUAUUUUGAGUUAUGGCAAGUAUAUCUACAAUUAACUGGUGGUCUUUUAUAUUUGUUCUUUCCCAUUGAGAUAAUACAUUAGAUAAGAACCGCUGGUUGGUUCCCAGUGCUGAUGGGGAAGACUGGGUUUUGCAAUACACAUAGAUCACCUGUUACAUUCGAUACCCUACCUUUAUUCUAUUCUUUGUCCUACAUUUCCCUGGACUUGGGGAAGUCAGCCAGUACUAUCCUGGCCCCAUUCAUUUCCUGAAUACAUUUCAUUACUGCGCUUAACCACAGUUGAAAGGGUUAAGCCUCUUAGAAUUAGAAUUUGGUCCCAUAUGCCCAACGUAGGCCAAUGUAGGCAUGGGACCAUUACCAGUUAGUGAAUGUGAUAGGGUCAGCAUAAGCAAUUACAAAUAUUAAUCUGAAGAAGAUGCCUGUCCAAAACAGUGACACUGUUGAUGAUACCACAAUGGAUACCACAGGGAUCUCAGGAAAAGGAGCAGGGUGAGAAGGGACUUGCGAGUCACAGCAUCAGGGUCAGCAUUCAUUAGCAUAUGGAAAACAAAAGAGAGAGAACUUCCUGGUUCCAGAGGAACAAAGGUUAUAGGAGGCAUAGCUGAAAAAGAAAAAAAACAAAUCUUUCUAGUCCCAAAUGAACCAAGGUCAAAAGGUAGGUGAAAUCCAGAUGGAUAAUUUUGUACAUUUCCCCUGAUCGUCUUGAGCCUUCCAGAUUUUAUUUUCCAGAUUAACCCUCUUUGAGGGUUAAAGGGACAGAACCAAUGAGGGGCAAAUUAAUUAACACCCGGUUGUCCCGGGGAGUAUUUGUCCGAAUAAGCAGCCCUUUGAGUAAGGGACCACAGGGUGUAAUGGUUGCCAGUAGUGAAAAAUAUUCCAGGUCCUCACAUCCUCCAGACUUUCUCCUGGAUACAAGUCACUGCCUGGGCAACUAGCAUUAAUCUCCCUCUCAUUUACUAUCUGUUCUCUAAGGGCUUGGUUAAAGGAUGACUUUUGAAUGUUUUUCUUUCUCUAACUGUCCCCUAAGGUCUUCUACUUGGCCCUGCAGGUAUGUGACCAGUUCCUGCAAGGACUGAAUAAUUUGAAUUUCUGCCAUGUGCUACUGGUUGGGGAUCUCUACAUCAGCAGUAAGAGCAGCUCCUAGAACUGCAAAAAUGGUUGAUUUUCCCUUUCCCUCCUCCAUACGAGUUGUUUGUGGAGGGAAUUUAUAUGAACUGUGACUCCUUCUAAGUUGGACCAGCUAUUCUGUUCCCACCCUAUCCCCACAGGGGAGGGUUUGGCACCAUUUUUUUAAAGAGGUUGAAAAGCGGAUAUCCACCUUUUUUUUUUUUUUUUUUUUUUUUUUUUUCCAAUGAUCAUGCCUCAAAAUGUGGAGCAAUCUCUUCAGGGGAAAGGAGGAACAUGUAAUAUCCACAACUCAACAAUUUCCUUCUUACACCCCCGAAGGAUCAACUUCCUACUUUUUUCUACCAAUAACGCAUUUGUUGCUACCACCUGGACACAUUGAGGCCAACCUCGAGAUAGAGGGUCUAAUAGCUUAGACAAUUAUGAGUAGGUUUUCUUUUGUUCCCCCCAUUCUUGUGUUAGAACUUCUAGAGUAGCUCCUUCAUUGACACUUAACAAAAAGGUGAGAAGUUUUUUUCAGGGCAGGCAGUUCUAACACUGGUGCUGUGAUUAAGUCCCAUUUUGAUACUUCUACUAAUUCUUUUUCCCCUUUUGUUCAUUUUAAUAUGUUGGGUUCUCCCUCUGAUAGUUUGAGAUACAAUCUCUUUGUCUUUUUGUGCAUAUGCUUCUAUUUGUAAUUGACAGAAUCCAAUUAAACCUAAAAACUUUUGCAACUCCCCCUUUGUUCUGGGCAGAGAAAGCUGCAAAAUUUCCUGAAUUCCUUCAGGAUUUAUUCUGCAUUUCCCUUCAGAAAUCACAUGCCCAAGGUAUCUGACUUCUUUUUCCACAUACUGCAGUUUAUUUUUAGAUACCCUUAGCCCACAUUCCUCCAAGAAGUUCAAGAGUUUACUUGUAGUCUUUUUUACUUUAGAGUCCUCUUUGCCACAAAUCAGCAAAUCAUCUACAUACUGUAACAACUUUACCCCCUCUUCAACCUGAAACUUUUUCAAAACUUUCUCCAGCACUUGUCUGCAUAGAUUAGGUGAUUCUGUGAACCCCCGGUGUAAAACAAUCCACAUAUAUUGCUGCUUUCAUCCCAUUUCUGGGUCCUCCCAUUCAAAGGCAAAAAGAUCUCGACUCUCUGAGUCCAAAGGGCAGGUCCAGAAAGCAUCUUUUAAGUUUAUUAUACUAAACCAUUUUUGUUUGUGUGGGAUCUGACUCAUUAGAGUAUAGGGGUCAGGAACUACAGGGUGCACUUGAGAACUAUUUCAUUAAUUUUUCUUAGACCUUGCACCAGUCAAUACGUGCCAUCUGCCUUCUGUACUGACAAAACUGGAGUGUUAAAGGGUGACAUACAGAGUUCCAGAAGACCAUCUCUAACCAAUGCCUAUAUUAUAGGUUUUAGACCCAUUAUCCCUUCUAAAGGUAUGGGAUAUUGUCACAGUUUCACAGCUUCACGUCCUCCUUGGACAGUUAUUUUUAAGGGAGUAACUGUGAGUCUACCCCAGUUUCUUUCCCCUGCCCACACCACUGGAUUUAUUUCUUUUUAUCAUCAGCUGUUAACAAAUUCAUUGAUACCUUUAUACCUGUUCCACAUGUUUUCAACUGCAAUCCUAAUGUAACUGUUAAAUCUCUCCCCAAUAAAUUGGUCCCUGCUUCUGGCAAAUUUAACAAUUUCUCUGUGACUAUUUUAUCUUCCUAUUUUAAUUCAGCAUUCUCAAAAAUUGAAACUAUAAUUCCUGAUCCCUGUACCCCUGUUAUUCUUAAAAUGUUCCCAUUUAAAUUAAGUCCUGGUAUUUUAUAAGUUUCAGAUGACCAAGUAUUAAUCAAACUGUUUUGCUAAUCCAAUAGGGUCUUCCAUUAAACAUUUCAUUUUCUUUUAAAAUUUCUCACCCCACUAGUAAGUGGGGAGUUUACAUAUCCUAUAUCUCCUGGUAACAUCGGAACUUCCCUAAGAGGAUACAUGUAAGUGUUAGUGGGGUUAAUGGAGUUAGAUUUAGGAAAGGGGAAAUUUAUAAUAUUCCCUUUGCAUUGUUCCAAUUCACAGAUCUCUGUUCAGAUGGAUGAUGAUUUGAGCCAAUACCCUCCACUCUGUCAGCUGUCUGCAGUCUCCCUGCUGUAGUUACAGGACUUGACUCAAGGACAGGAUGAAUUUCAUCUAGCCAUGAUUAGCUGCUGUACUCCCUGAAUCCAAAAAGCAAGCAGCAUAUGCAGACUCCUCCAAGAAAAAGGAGUUCUAUUGUUUACGUGCAUGUUCUGUAUAUCUACAGUUCAGUAAUUGUCCUGUGUUUUAGAUCUUUUUCUCCACUGUCACUUUCUAUCUGUUACAGAUUACCUUUUCUUAACAUUUAGUUAUACAGUUUAUACCUACUAGCUAAUUUAUUCCUGCUCUUCUGCUGUCAGACAGUUUGCUAACCUAUGUUAUCCUUCACAUGGGAUGCUACUGAUGCUUGUAUAUGAAAUAACUGCAUCUGUGACAGUAAAUGGAAAAGCUAGGAUUGUAACUGAGGCUACCCAGUUAUUUAUGUUUCCUUCAGCCUAUGCUUUCUUUCUCUGCUCCACAGCUUGAGUUAGAUAUAUGUACUCAUGAUGUUCCAACUCUUAUCUUAUAAAAAAUAAAUAAAUCUGCAUGUUAUGGGCUCAAAGACAUUAAAAUCCAAAGUGUUAAAGCUAAUAUGUGCCAGAUGUUACUCAUAAUUUCUUAACAGAGUUACAUUUCAUUUCCAUGAGCUGCACCAAAAUCUUUACUUCUGCCCCUUGUUUUGGAAAAAAGGAACUACUAGUCUCUCUAGCUCUUUUUUACAUUUUCUUCUGGAUAUUUAUGCAACUCCAUAAGAGAACUUCUUUACUUUUCUGUCAUAGUAAGACAUUUUUUAUGUUUCAGUUCCAGAGUCUUCCCUCUUUUAAGAAUCACUCUCCUUGCAUGAUUUGUCAUACCUUUGGAAAAAUACAUUAUACAUCUGGAAGCAAACCAUUUAAUUGUUUGUCACUGUUCUUCUCAUACGACUCCUGUCUAAGCCCAAAUAAACUAGUAUUCUUCUCCCAUGAUUAGAAAGCAACAUUUUUGAUUCUCAGUGAUGAAGUUUUAUAUUAUUUUGUGAAUCACUAGGAUUUCUGCUGUUCAGUGAUGCUAGUUCUGCUGACUUACUCUUCUGUUUAACUUUCAAAAGAUACUUCCCUACGGAGUGAAGUUAACAACAGAAGUUUAACAUCCACUUAACCAGCACAGUCUAUUUUCAGUCAUCUUAGAUGUGUCUUUCUAAAAGCCCUUUUUUAUAAAAUGCUGUUCAUUGGCAGUGAUUUUAGGCUUUUCCAAGAAAUUCUGAAACAUUCUGCACUUUCUGAAUUUAUCUUUAGGAUCAUCCCAGAAAGAUACACCCUAGAAAACUUCAAGUUCACAAAUUUUCUGUACACAGAUUUCCUUUCUCACAUCUCACUUAGGUCAGUUCACUUAACAGCUACGUAGUUACUUUGGUGAUUUUAUGCUUUUGUUUUUAAUAGCAAAUCAGAAAUAAAAAUGCAGUAAAAUAUUAGUUACAUUCAUUCACUGUAUUUAGUUUUGCAUUGCUUUAUGUUGCAGUGAUUAUAAUUUAACUAGACAAGAACCAAAAGAAAUAUUUAAUAGAAAAUUAUGAAUAUAAUAUUAACAGUUAGUGAGGAAAUCUCCCUUAUUAAUUUUAUAAAUUUAAUCUCCACUAAAAUAUUACUUGGUUUAAUCUGAUUUUUUCUUGUCUCUUUUAAACUUUUCUUGGCUUAAUUUUUCAUGCUAUAAUAUAAUCAGUGCCCGAAGAUAAUAUUUAAUAGAAUAUUAGGUUGUCUUUCAAUGUGAUUGGGAAAUAGUGUAUUUUUACUUGUACUACGACCAUGGAUUUUACUCAUAGGGCUAAAGUGCAGAUUUAGGUCUUGUUGGUGUGAACUACAACCCUUAUUACAAAGUGCCACACAUAUUUCUCUGAGUCAUAAAACCUUUUAUGGUUUCUACGUGCCUUCUGGGUUCUCCAUAAGAGAUUUUUUUCCAUUAGGCUGUAUCAGAUAAUAAUUGUACUUCUUGCAUUGACUCAACUGUGCUGACAUAUCACUGAAGAGAGGUCAGAGAGUAUUAAUUCUUCACUCCACAAUUCCAAACUGCUUUUAGAACACAGUAUAUGGACUCCUAAUACUUCCUACCACUGCCAGUAUGUAUAGAGGCAGAUGAUCCAGGGGAUUCUGGCACUGAUGAACAGACACAUAGGUCAAGACUAAAUUAGUGUCUGGUUUCCAAGCAGCAGCGGUUGAUCCAGGCCAACAAGCUGUCUGACAGAGUCUCUUUAUUCAGUCAGUAGAAAAAAUAGUAGUAGCAGUACUGGGGCUGAGCAUAUUACCUAAUAAAAUGCUUUACUUGGUAUAGCUACUUCUCUUUAGUAAAGUAUAGAGGGAACCAGAGACUGGAAACCGUGCAAGCACUCUGAAUAAUUAAUUGCUUCCUUGAAUGUAGAUAUCAUAUUUGAUGUGACCAAAGUAAUUGCAAAGCUUUGUCUCCAUCAACAGCAGUACAACUUUGGUAGUUCAGAAAUUCCCAUCAAAUGUUUUUGGAGUGAUUCCAUCUCUCUUAUUUGGCAGAGAAAACAUGAAAUUCGAGCAAAACAAAAAGUUGAGGAAAAAAAAUGACACUGUAGAAUUUUUGUCUCUUGAUCCCCUUCAGACCUGGCAUUUUGCCUUUUCAUUCCUUGGUGCCCAGUGGGAAACAUGAAGGAGGCUGAUACAUCAGUUUUCACCAUCUGCAAACUGCGAAGGAGAAAAGACCAAUUUCAUUGUGCAAAAAAAUCUAAAGUGAUAGCGAAGGCAAAAAGUUCAAAAUGCCAUUACCUUCUGUCAGAAAUGGAUCUUUAAAAGCAGAUAAAAGCUGAUCAUGUCCCUAAUGUAAAAUAAACUAGGAGAUGACAGGAAAAGAUAUUUAUAGGGAAUAGAAGGAAAGUGCUUUGCUUUGGAAUCCAGCCAUAAGGGAAAGUGCAGCUAAGGAUAAUUCAUUUCAGAAUCUUCCCCAGGCUGUGUUAGUCCUACUGCAAUUCUGCAGAAUAAUAGAACCAAAAUGCUCUUUUCUGGAGUUGUAGGUUCAAUUUCAUUGCUUUUUUUUUUCUUUCUUUCUUUCCCCUUUUAUCAACCCAAGAUGGACAGAUGUUUUAAUAUCUGGAAGGAUCAGCUAAGCUUAGGCUUAUUUUAUAUAUAUAUAUAUAACAGACUAUAUAUAACAGAAUGGCCUAUUCCUCUUCAAGGAAUUAUGUCAACAAAAUCUUACAAAGCAAAUUGGUCAGAGUGGGAAUUGGUUGCCAGUAUGCCUGAUCCAAAGACAAAGAAGGAGCAUCUUACUGACACCAUUGUUACUGACACCACUGAUGUCAGCUGGUUGUGAAGCAGGCCCUAGGGGAUAGUGCUUACAUAUAUAUCUAAAAAAAAAAAACCAAAAAACCCCAAAAAACAGAAAAAAAGACAAAACAAAAAACAUAUUUGCAUUUGAACCUUGCUACAUCAUGUAUUCAUAGAGGAUAUUUCAAAUCUUAAUUCACUGUAUUUAUUCCAGCUUUCGGAGAUAUUUUAAAUGUAUAUGAGAACACAGUCUCCUAAAUACAUUAUAUUUAAUGUUUAACAUGUUAAGAAAUCAUGUUUAAAAGUGAUUUCCUAACAAACUAAUGCAUAUUGCCUAGUUGCUACACUUACAAAAAUCUUGUCAGUGCUUAAAAAGAAACUAAGACACAUUAAAUGUCUCUAUGCUAUUUCAGCAGAUCAGUCUUCCAAAAAUCAAUAGUUUAGUGCCAUCCUUUAAAAAGUCUUUGGAUGGGACAGACAACUGAUCAAUUUAGAAUAGUUUUAAAAUAUUAUGCAUGCUUGUGAAGACUAAACAAAUUAGUUGUUGAGGGAACCAUAUUGCUACAGCAUUUUGAAAAUCACUUGAUGCAUAAUUUGAGCUUUGAUUCAGUAAAGUAUGGAAACAUAAGCUUAAAGCUAAGUGUUUUCUGUCACACUUCUUUUGUCCUGUCUGUAACAUGCAGCCAGCAUGUAUGAUAAGAAAAAAGAUUCUGCAGUGUAAGACUUCAACUAUGACUUCUUAUUGUUUGAGAAGAUGGACCGGGGAAAUGGAAAUCUGCCAAGGUAACUAAGAUACUUAGCAGACAGUGAUAUGAUAAUAGCAGACUUAAAGACCCAUCAAAAAAUUAAGAUCAAAUACACUAUUUAUUUUUCUGUAAUGUAAAACAGAUGGCAUCUGGACAGACAAGAAAUGUGAGUUUAUGUCACAGUCAGGAGAGCCAUCCACAUUAUUGCUGGCAUGGACAUGGUAAAGUCAAAUCAAUCUCUAAGUGAAGAACAAGAAGAAUAAAAGAUCUGAGGAUUUUUUUCCUCAGAUCUCUGAGGAAUUUUUGCCAAGGCAAGGAGACUAUGCAUGGGCAGAAAUGGUCUAACAGCUUGAAAAAUACACUUGUAGAGAAAAAGUGUCAAUAAAAACGCAAGAGUAUAAUAUAUUUACAUAAGGUAACAAAAAAUGCCUGAAAACCACAACUCCAGAUGCAGGUUCAAUUCAUAGAAAAACAACAACAAAAACAGUAAAAAAAAAAAUGGAAGAAGUAGUCCAACUACUUCAAUGCAUUCCAAAUGAAGUAGAGAUAGGAAAACUGACAAGUUAGAACCUGGAGUUUUAAAGAACAUGUAACUCAAUUCCAAUCCCC
ensembl:lncRNA